rnacentral:rRNA from 1 species
UACGUAGGGUGCAAGCGUUGUCCGGAAUUAUUGGGCGUAAAGAGCUCGUAGGCGGUUUGUCGCGUCUGCUGUGAAAACUCAGGGCUUAACCCUGAGCUUGCAGUGGGUACGGGCAGACUAGAGUGCGGUAGGGGAGACUGGAAUUCCUGGUGUAGCGGUGAAAUGCGUAGAGAUUUGGAGGAACACCAGUGGCGAAGGCGAGUCCCUGGACAACACCUGACACUGAGGCACGAAAGCUAGGGGAGCAAACAGG